AACGAACGCUGGCGGCAGGCCUAACACAUGCAAGUCGAACGCACCGCAAGGUGAGUGGCAGACGGGUGAGUAACACGUGGGAACGUGCCCAUCGGUUUGGGAUAACCCAGGGAAGCUUGGGCUAAUACCGGAUACGACCGUGAGGUGAAAGAUUUAUCGCCGAUGGAUCGGCCCGCGUCUGAUUAGCUAGUUGGUGGGGUAAUGGCCUACCAAGGCGACGAUCAGUAGCUGGUCUGAGAGGAUGAUCAGCCACACUGGGACUGGGACACGGCCCAGACUCCUACGGGAGGCAGCAGUGGGGAAUAUUGGACAAUGGGCGCAAGCCUGAUCCAGCCAUGCCGCGUGAGUGAUGAAGGCCCUAGGGUUGUAAAGCUCUUUCGCACGCGACGAUAAUGACGGUAGCGUGAGAAGAAGCCCCGGCUAACUUCGUGCCAGCAGCCGCCGUAACAC
rnacentral:rRNA from 1 species